rnacentral:lncRNA from 1 species
CAGGGGCUGGGGGGGACGUGGGAAUGGAGAGUGACUGCUAAUGGAUAACAAGUUCUCUUUUACGUUAAUGAAAGUGUCCUGGAACUAGUUGACAGUGAUGCUUAUGAAUAUUAUGGGUUAACUUGAUGCCACUGAACUGCAUAUCCUAAAAUGACUAAAAUAUGUUUUAUGUUGUGUGUAUUUUAUUGCAACAAAUAAAAAGCAGGACAAGUAUCCAUCUAGCCAAAAUAUAGCCUGUGCAUUUUUAAAGCAAUUUUAAAGGUUUCUUUUUCCUCUUUGACCAUCUUGCAUGGAUGCAAUAAAACACAGUUCUGAAAUGCUAGGACGUCUGUCUGCACUAAAGAAGUCUCAUUCCAAUUUCAAGGGCUCACUUGCCUCUGGAACUGGCCUUGAGAAUGGGAGUGCCUACUCCUCCCUCAACAGCUGACGUAAAAGGGAGAACUUCCUGGAGGCCAGCCAAGAGCCUACUGGGGCAUAAUCAGGCUGCCCAGCUUGUUGGCUUGGACAUGGCUCCUCUCCACUUAGGAGGCUCUGCCCACUCACAUUCCAGGCCUCAGCUUGCCAUGUUUUCCUGUUAAGCCCAGAACCCUUCCCCUGGGUCCCUUCCUCAGAGGGGACAUGUUGGGAGCCACAGUCUCAGAGAUACUUGGGAUUUUAAACAUGAUGCAACUCUAGGGCUGACUUUGGAAUUCUGUGGGCUGUGCUUGGCCCAGAUCCCACCUUUGGGCCACUUUUGCUGCUGCUAUUAUUUUUAGUUGGUGGGGCAAUCAUUGUGUGCCUUUGUACAGUUUUCAUUUGGGAAGCCUUAGAGCUCUUUAACUCCACUCCAUUCUAUCACAUCCUUGUUUAGCAAUGAUCAUCCUUUUGCAUUACAAACUAGAAAAGCAACUCCGUAAGACUAACAAACUCUCUUCAACCAAGUAAAGGAGACUCCUUGUGGAGGGGAGCCCCUGCCCGCUCACCUGGAUGACCAUGCCUCACCUCUGCCGAUCACAUGCAAAUAUUUGUCCUGUUCUGAGACAUCCUCCUGGGUCCCAGCUUCUUCUCUUGAAGAUACAGAUUUCCAGUGCACCAUCAGAAGCCGAAGUAACUGUGAGUGGGAGGCAUUGGAGCCGGCUGGGAGGUAAGCAUUCGGGCCAGCAGGGAGGAGGAGUCGCCCAUGUAGCAGUGCUGGAUGACAACAUUCCCACACUGCCCUCGGACACAUCACAGACCCUGGUACCACAGGAUCCCUCUGAUUCAACUGAAGAGAGAUGCAGAGCUGCAUGCCACCAA